ensembl:lncRNA
GUGGGAGCAGCAAACUCCAUCCAGACAGCUUCCUUUGUUUUUUUCACUUGACUAAUCGAUCAGCGCACAGCUCCGUUUAGCACACACGCCAUCUUUAACGACGGCGUGGAGUCUGUGCCCUGUUCCUCCCACACACGAGUGUUCGUUCAUGUUCGGCCUUGUGUCUGAGCGUUUCCUCUCGGUGUGUCUGUAACGAGGAAGCCACGGGCAGGUCGCACACAAACGUGUGGCUGCCGAGUGUGCGAGUGUGGCAACGUGUGGCAACUAUUCUGGUUUCCAGAUAAACACUGGUGGCAGCUGCUGCCAUGGCAACACCAUUGUGCUCCCUCCCUCCCUCGCUCGUCUCCCCUCCCUCUCCCCAACCACUCCUCUCUCUCAUGCUCCGCCGGCUCAGAGAGCGAGGACCAGAGAGGAGAGAGGUCAGCUCGAUUCAGAGGACAGAAAGAAGAAAGGAAUAACCCGGAGUGGACGGGGACAGGAUGAGCGAGGACAGCCACUCCCACUACAGGCUGGACCCCAGCGAUCGCCUCAACGGGCUGGGACAGAGGAGGAAGAGACCCAAGAAGGUAAACGAAUAGAUGGAGAGCCACGUGGUGCAAAGUGUGUAAGGAUGGAGCACCCCACCCUGCAAAAAGAGAAAGGAGGUGGGGUUAGGUGAGGUUUGUUUAUGUGCAGACGAGCGUCCACAUGAUGUUAGGAGCACCGAACCAUCCGAACUCUCACCCCGUCGUCUCCUGUGGAGUGUGUGGCUGCUCCCCCACAGCAGCUGCCAGAGAUGCUCUUCAAACAGCUGACAGACAUGACCACAUUACAAGAACAUGGUGUGAGUCCGAUUUGAUAUUCCAGUCAACGCUGAGAGACCUUAACCAGGAAGUCAGAGGUCAGCUGAUGCUGCGAGCAGGAAGUGAACCAAGGGAAAGGUCCACUCUACUCAAUCUCAAAGAAAAUAUGCUGACGGACAGGGAAUCAGUUGCUGUACGAUGACAUCAUCUUGAUGUUGACGAGGAGGGCGAGAAAAACUAGUUUUGUCCUGCAGAUGGCGAUCUUGCACCGUGUCCAGAGAGCCGACACUUUGAUGGUGCUGCUCUACUCAGCUUACUUUAGCCUGGGUUGGACUCUAUAUGAGCAGCUUCCACUCUGGUUUCACUCUUAAACACAC